GAACCUGAAACCAUUUUCCAGAAGUCCUCCUCACAGCUGCCAAAUCUCAUCGAUGUUUCUGUUGGAACUCAGCUGCUGAUUCAGCACUUGUUUGCUGUUGGGAAGAACUUCAAGUCUCAACCAAGUCUCGUAAAACAACGUGGCUCCAGUAAAUCAUACUGCCUUUUUGUGGAUGUUGAAGGUCAAUAGAACGACCUUCCUGAAAAUCCAGAGAGGUAGGAGUGCUCUCACUUUAUAACUACUUCAGCAAGCCCAGGCCCCACAGUUCACCUGCAUCUUACAGCCAUCGACAUGGGCAGUUACACAGAGCGGCGACAGCUCCUGCCCUCCCUGCUGCUGGAACAGAGCCCCUCCAGUCUGUUUUUGAGCAUGUUAUGACCACUCGAUCGAGCCAUCAUUUGAUCACACACCACUGGCUUCAGUAACCAGGCUCUGGCCUCACUUUCUUUCUGCCAAUGAAGAGGAUCCUGUCGCAGUGUUACUCUGCCGUGUGCAGCUUUGGAGGAAGGAGAAGGUGUAAAGGGAAGAAGGAUAUCUUGAGGUUUGCUGUUUGGAGCUGGCUCUGUGUUGUAUUUCACUAUACUGAGAUGGAUCUCGAUGUCCUUGGGAAGACAGCAGAGGCUGACGUCCUCCCCACCACACCGGGUUGAAGUGCAGUCCCCAUCACAUGCUGAGGGCAGAGCAGUGCUCAGAGGUGCCCCUUGGGUUUAGGACAAUUUCCUGAAGAUGCUCAGGCUGGCUUGGCCCAUGGAACUGACAAAUCCCAGGCCAGCUGAGGUACUCUGAGCAGCUCUGUCUGUACUUUUCCAUUGAUCCUUUGCCUAGAUAUAUAGUUCUGAUUUUGUCUGUGUCAUGGGAAGAUGUCAUCUUGAUCCCUCUACAAGGCUUUCAAAUAGUAACAUUUUGUUUGAAGGGAAAAGGAAAGAAAAAAGCAAGUGACAAAGAGCACUUAAUCAGUAUUACUCAGUAUGUUUACAUUUAUGCUUGAAGAUGAGCAACAUGAUGUAUUUCUGUUCGUGUUCAUGUGGAUAAAAACCUUCUAUGCAAUUGCUAUGACCUACCAUUUAAAAAUAAAUAAUAACACACUAAGGCUUCUUAAUGGUUC
rnacentral:lncRNA from 1 species